AUGCGGUAUCAAGCCGAUGGUAGUAUUCAAGUCCACGUUUAAAACGUUGCAAAAUUCAAGUGUUAUUGUCAAUGUCACCUGACAACAUUGACGUUAAUGACGUCAUAAUAAAAACAUUUUCCAUUAUCAUUAUUUUCAUCAUUAUCUGCCAAGACCUUCAGUAGUAGUGUUUGUUGAUUUAUUGUGAGAAUAGACUACGACGAAAUGUAUUUGAAGCUGUGUGUAUUAAUAUUUGCGCUGCUAGCCGUUAGCAACGUAGAAGCGUCAUCGGGCUACGACUUCGGAGACUUUUUUGCGACAGUAUUAGGUCUCGGCAUUGCGGUCAUUGGGAUCCUCGCGUGUUUAGGCAACUACGCGAGACAGAAAGCGAGAAACGAAUUCAUAUAACGCAAUCAUAUACACACGGCAGGAAGCAAGCAAUGCGAAAAGACAAAAUAAAAUGUAUAUGGCCUGUAAAGUUUUUGUUAAAUAUAUGAACUUCCAUAAAGUUAAGUAUAAUGAAAAAGAAAUUAAGACUACAUGAGCUAAAAUGAAUUAGGUAUAUUGAUAUGAAUUGAAUCUAAUAAUACAGGCUUUGUUUAAUAUAAGAAAAAUCGCAAUAGCCAAUUCCAUAGCACUUGUGUUAAUUGUUAUGUUAAUUAAUUCACUGAUAAUGUAGUUGAGUAAGAAUAUGUUUUGUUACUACUAUAAGUGCAACAUGCCACUGAUAUCAGGAGUUUUGUAUCAAGGGUUUAUUUAUCAGUAAAUAUAAUAUACUAUAAAAUC